rnacentral:rRNA from 1 species
UACGAAGGGGGCUAGCGUUGCUCGGAAUCACUGGGCGUAAAGCGCACGUAGGCGGCUUUCUAAGUCAGGGGUGAAAUCCUGGAGCUCAACUCCAGAACUGCCUUUGAUACUGGAGAGCUUGAGUCCGGAAGAGGUGAGUGGAACUCCGAGUGUAGAGGUGAAAUUCGUAGAUAUUCGGAAGAACACCAGUGGCGAAGGCGGCUCACUGGUCCGGUACUGGACGCUGAGGUGCGAAAGCGUGGGGAGCAAACAGGG